AACGAGGCCGACCUGCGGCUGAGUUACCUGCGGAAGGAUCAUUACACAAUACAAUAUGAAGGCUGUCCGCAGCUGGAGUAUUUUAUUACCCUUGUCUUUUGCGCACUUGUUGUUUCCUGGGCGGGUUCGCUCGCCACCAGGACCACCAAAUAAACCUUUUUUAUGCAGUUGCAAUCAGCGUCAGUACAAACAAUGUAAAUCAUUUACAACUUUCAGCAACGGAUCUCAGAUCGGAAGAGC
rnacentral:misc_RNA from 1 species